rnacentral:rRNA from 1 species
AGCGAACGCUGGCGGCAGGCCUAACACAUGCAAGUCGAACGAACCUUUCGGGGUUAGUGGCGGACGGGUGAGUAACACGUGGGAACGUGCCUUUAGGUUCGGAAUAACUCAGGGAAACUUGUGCUAAUACCGAAUGUGCCCUUCGGGGGAAAGAUUUAUCGCCUUUAGAGCGGCCCGCGUCUGAUUAGCUAGUUGGUUGAGGUAAUGGCUCACCAAGGCGACGAUCAGUAGCUGGUCUGAGAGGAUGAUCAGCCACAUUGGGACUGAGACACGGCCCAAACUCCUACGGGAGGCAGCAGUGGGGAAUCUUGCGCAAUGGGCGAAAGCCUGACGCAGCCAUGCCGCGUGAAUGAUGAAGGUCUUAGGAUUGUAAAAUUCUUUCACCGGGGACGAUAAUGACGGUACCCGGAGAAGAAGCCCAGGCUAACUUCGU